UUAAUUAGAUUGAUUCUGUCUAAUUAAAUUAAUUUUAAAAAUAGUAUUAUAUAUAAAUUUUUGUGUGUUAAUUAAUUAAUCUUAAUGAUUAUAUUAAUAUUAUAUUAUUAAUUUGUAGUUGUUUAUUUUGUAUAUUUUAUCAUUAAAGAUACAGUUAAUUUUUUUAGAAUUGUCAAAAGUUGUGCCAGCAGACGCGGUUAUACAAUUGAUUCGAAUUAAUUUUAUUGGUAUAUAUUUAUUAAAUAUUUUGGGAAUUUAAAUGAUAAUUUUUAAGU
rnacentral:rRNA from 1 species